GCUCUAUAUGCAUUCAAAAUCCGUAUAAGGGAAGGCAUGUCAUGUUGCUCCUUAACAAGUUGACACAAUGAACCAACAUCAGAACUGCUCAAGAACUUGCCAACUCCCAAUGGUGCGCCAUCUUCAUCUGUUGACUGCUUGUUAUCAUCAUCACUUUCAUCUUCACCCGAAUACUGCUGUCAUUAACAAAGGGAUAGUGUUCAUCCAAUAAGAAAGCAGGUACAUGCAAGAGAAGCAAUCAC
rnacentral:lncRNA from 1 species